AGAUCUACAAAAACAGUCUAAACAAUCUGGCACAAGUCACCGAAACGGGAUCCGUGGGAUUCGCUGAUCGUGGAUGACCAGUGGCAUGCAACACGGGAACAAAGUGUUAACACACCAGAGAUCCACGCUAUCGGCAUAUCUGGAGGCUGCAUUUAUCAAUCAAUUAAACUGUUUUACUGAUUGCCAGAGAGAGGGAAUCCACAGACAGAGUUCUGAUUAGCAGUACAUUAAUUUACACGUUUUAUUUUAUUUUGUUUUUAUUUUAAUUGUAGUGUGGUUUGUUUGGAUUGUUUGUUGCUGUUUUUAUGUUUCGUCUGAGUUCUGGUUAGCAGUAAAUUAAUAUACAUGUUUUAUUUUAUUUUGUUUUUAUUUUAAUUGUAUUGGGGGGUGGGUGUGUGGGGGGAUGGGGGCGGUGUUUAUUGUUGUUUUUGUGGUUUGUCUGCUCUAGUUGGUAUUUCUCGACAUUUAUAGAAUCAGCCAUUAUUUUGCGAAAUGUUCACUGAACUCUGCAUUAUGCAUGAACACGACCACGAGCACGCAUUACGGUCUUGUGGUUCAGAUUAAUAGUUAUAUUGUUAAUGCAUAAUGCAAAUCAGAAGAAACACAUUUUCCGUCCAGGGUCUUCAUAGUCACAUUUGUUAUGCCCCCCCCCCCCCCCCCCCCCCCCAUAGAGUAAUGGUGGUUGUAUAGUAAGCAUUUAAAUCGUGUGCUGUGACCUCGACUUUUCUCAAGUAACCUAAUUUUAAUAUUGGACAAUUAUUUUUACAUUUAGUAGUAAUCAUUUGUAUAUGUGCAGGUAUUGUGUAAUGUCCUGGCUAUUCCAUUUAUUAUAGUUAUUAUUUAAGGAAACUUUUAAGAGUGCAGUUUGUCGUUCGGUGCACUAUAGACAAAAACGAAGUUGUAUAACUAUUGCUAUUAGGGGCCGUUCAACUAUUAAGUAACGUUAUGUUUGUCAAAAUGAGUCACCCCCACCCCCCUUGUAACGCUAGACCAUGCAUUCCCGAAAAUAUUACGUAACGCUCGGAUAUACCCCCCCCCCCCCCCCACACACACACACACGCACCAACACACAGACAAAGCAACGUGACAAUGUUUAUUUAUACCCAUGUGUACUAUUGCUGUAAGAUGGAAAAAAACAAACCCGCGGGUUUUCACUUGCGCGAUUUGAAUUGACCCACAAAAGUAUAAAUACAAUAUUAAAAUGUCUGGUGUAUUAAAGCAUUUCAGCUUGA